AUUCAGCUGACGAGCCCUAAAUAAGACGAAACACGCGUCCUGGAU
rfam:Schistosoma curassoni strain Dakar, Senegal genome assembly, scaffold: SCTD_contig0000158